rnacentral:rRNA from 1 species
GACGAACGCUGGCGGCGUGCUUAACACAUGCAAGUCGAACGGAAAGGCCCUGCUUUUGUGGGGUGCUCGAGUGGCGAACGGGUGAGUAACACGUGAGUAACCUGCCCUUGACUUUGGGAUAACUUCAGGAAACUGGGGCUAAUACCGGAUAGGAGCUCCUGCUGCAUGGUGGGGGUUGGAAAGUUUCGGCGGUUGGGGAUGGACUCGCGGCUUAUCAGCUUGUUGGGGGGGUAGUGACUUACCAAGGCUUUGACGGGUAGCCGGCCUGAGAGGGUGACCGGCCACAUUGGGACUGAGAUACGGCCCAGACUCCAACGGGAGGCAGAAGUGGGGAAUAUUGCACAAUGGGCGGAAGCCUGAUGCAGCAACGCCGCGUGCGGGAUGACGGCCUUCGGGUUGUAAACCGCUGUCGCCUGUGACGAAGCGUGAGUGACGGUAAUGGGUAAAGAAGCACCGGCUAACUACGUG